rnacentral:rRNA from 1 species
GAUGAACGCUGGCGGCGUGCCUAAUACAUGCAAGUCGAGCGAACGGACGAGAAGCUUGCUUCUCUGAUUUUAGCGGCGGACGGGUGAGUAACACGUGGAUAACCUACCUAUAAGACUGGGAUAACUUCGGGAAACCGGAUCUAAUACCGGAUAAUAUUUUGAACUUCAUGGUUCAAAAGUUAAAUACGCUCGUGCUGUCACUUAUAGAUGGAUCCGCGCUGCAUUAGCUAGUUGGUAAGGUAACGGCUUACCAAGGCAACGAUGCAUAGCCGACCUGAGAGGGUGAUCGGCCACACUGGAACUGAGACACGGUCCAGACUCCUACGGGAGGCCGCAGUAGGGAAUCUUCCGCAAUGGGCGAAAGCCUGACGGAGCAACGCCGGGUGAGUGAUGAAGGUAUUCGGAUCGUAAAACUAUGUUAUUAGGGAAGAACAUAUGUGUAAGUAACUGUGAACAUCAUGACGGUACCUAAUCAGAAAGCCACGGCUAACUACGUG